GUUUCAGGAGUUCCCAUUUAUUAAUUCUCAACCUCAGUGUCUGUACUACUGUUGUUAUGUUCAGGAAGCAGCCUCCUGUACCAAUUUGUUCAAUGGUACCUACAGUGAUUAUUUACAAUAUUUUUCCUUUAAAUUUUUUACUCCAUUAUUUGAAGACUGCUGAUUGUGACUAAUGUAUAACAUAUCAAAUAUUUGAUACUGAUAUUUCUUCAGACAGUUCCCUGUGAUGAAAUCAUACCUGUUGGGAUUUUCCAGUUCCUUUUCUGAGAAUAUGGUUUGUUUAUCUGGAUAAUAUGCAAAGUUCAGGCUUGAGGGGCCAAAGGAUUUGACCAACUGUAUUGGUUACUUUCCUCAAUGUUAUACCAAAAUGCAUAAGAAAUAUAAUCAAAGGAAGGAAGGGUUUAUUUUGGAUCAUAGUUUGUGGAUACUGUUUAUCAUAACAGGGAAGGGAUGAAGCCAAGAGCUUGAGAGAGCCAACCACACUGCAUUCACACGUAGGAAGCAGAGAAAGAUGAAUACCGGGAGUCAAUGAUGCUCUGUACUUCAACAUGUUAUGGAACAAACCUGUACCUUCGGGCAAAGUGCAGACUUUAGACAUAAAGAAGAAAUCAGAGGAAAGGAAGGAGUCUGAACAGACAUUUAUCAUGAACACAACACCAGUGGCACAGACACUGAGAUCGACAAUUAACAAAUG